AGCGGGAGGGGGAUAGCUGAUUCGUAUGUGCAUACAUACUGUCACAAGCGUUUGAAUUUCUAUAUCUUUCAAUUUUCAACGCGUUUGAUUUUUACGAAAAUAAACGUUUCUGGGCGUGCAUCGUUUUUGCUGAAUAAACUCAACCACCUAUCGUAUAUGCUACAAGUAAAAUACUUCACUACUUACCAAGGAAGACACAGAUUUUUGUGUUUUAAAUUCCAUCUCUAUUUCAAUAAACCUGUUAUAUCUGUUCCAGUUGGAGCGUCUGAUAGAAUAAAAAUCUUUUUUAGGAGCAGCGGAAAUCUUGUCAAGACAACAUCUGGACAACAUGAAUUGUUCAUCGCUGCUUUAUGAACACGAGCCACACAGCUCGGUUUCAUUGCCAACGAGCCGCAGUUCAUGAUGCAGACCAUUGAAGACCCAGCUAGCAUCAUGCAUUCUAGGCGGGAAAACACAAUCUAGUUUAUAUGCCGCUAGUUUCAUUACUUUCGAACCAGACAUCGUCGCCAAUGAUCGUAUCGCAACACGAUGGCAAAGCAGCAGGUUCAUCCAACCCUCAACCGUAGCGUGUACUUCAACAAAUUUCCCAAGAAGCUCUCAUGCUGCAACAAAGAAUCAACGUGCAAAUACCCUGCUAAUAUAAACAUAUUCGACGCACUUUUUAUUCUGUGAUAGCUUUGAACCACUGCGUCUACUAGUUUGAUCUAUUGUGAUGAUUCAAGGCACUUAUAUAAAAUAUAUUUUGUAGCUAACGCAUGUUUCUUGCUACCGAAUCUGAGCUGCAUCCACCGCACAACCACAAGAUAUACAUCAACAAGUUCGCCAAGUAAUGAUAAUGUUUAUCGAUGAAUCAACUGUAACAGUCAAAUUUUACACAAGCAACUUCAGGCAUUUCAGAUAGAAAAGAUAAUCUUGAUAAGUUAAGUCAUAGCUAUCCGAUAUUACAAUCCAAUAUUAGUACUAAUCAGUUUUUGAAAACAUUUUGUAGAUACAAAUCAACAAGGGUCGCCAAUUGUCACGCAACAUGUUUAAAUAGUGAUACAGUAGAUGCACCCACCUGAGCAACAUUAUACACUUCAGUACAUUUUCCAAACAGCAGUCGGGUUCAUUAAUAAAUAAAAUACAAGGAUUGUCGCGAUUGGUCAUUUCGCCACGCACAACAGCAUAACAGCUGUUCUCAAUUUUUUUAUUUAAUGAUAUAUUUAUGUUUUUCUUUUUUUGUAUAUUUUUCUUAAAUUAUGUACAUUUUUAUUGCCUGUUAAGACCAUGGCGCAUCAACUUAUGAAUGACAAUGUAAAGGUAAUAAAUUAAUAUAGUUAGAAAACUACGAUCAGUUCGCACAACAGAAUAUAAAAUACUAUAGUGUUUAAAAAUGUAAUUAUGAAAGAGAUUUAUAAAAUACUAAAUUAUUUAAAAAAUAAAAACUAUUCC